GUGUCAGCAGCCGCGGUAAUACAGAGGUCCCAAGCGUUGUUCGGAUUCACUGGGCGUAAAGGGUGCGUAGGCGGUCGGGUAAGUCUGAUGUGAAAUCUCUGGGCUCAACCCAGAAAUGGCAUUGGAUACUAUCUGGCUAGAGGAGUGGAGGGGGGACUGGAAUACUUGGUGUAGCAGUGAAAUGCGUAGAUAUCAAGUGGAACACCAGUGGCGAAGGCGAGUCCCUGGACACCUCCUGACGCUGAGGCACGAAAGCUAGGGGAGCAAACAGGAUUAGAUACCCUGGUAGUCC
rnacentral:rRNA from 1 species